rnacentral:rRNA from 1 species
UGGGGAAUAUUGCACAAUGGGCGAAAGCCUGAUGCAGCGACGCCGCGUGCGGGAUGAAGGCCUUCGGGUUGUAAACCGCUUUUAAUUGGGAGCAAGCGAGAGUGAGUGUACCUUUUGAAUAAGCACCGGCUAACUACGUGCCAGCAGCCGCGGUAAUACGUAGGGUGCAAGCGUUAUCCGGAAUUAUUGGGCGUAAAGAGCUCGUAGGCGGUUUGUCACGCCUGGUGUGAAAGUCCAUCGCUUAACGGUGGAUCUGCGCCGGGUACGGGCAGGCUAGAGUGCAGUAGGGGAGAUUGGAAUUCCCGGUGUAACGGUGGAAUGUGUAGAUAUCGGGAAGAACACCAAUGGCGAAGGCAGAUCUCUGGGCUGUUACUGACGCUGAGGAGCGAAAGCAUGGGGAGCGAACAGGAUUAGAUACCCUGGUAGUCCAUGCCGUAAACGGUGGAUGCUGGAUGUGGGGCCCUUCCACGGGCUCCGUGUCGGAGCUAACGCGUUAAGCAUCCCGCCUGGGGAGUACGGCCGCAAGGCUAAAA